GAUUGAACGCUGGCGGCAGGCCUAACACAUGCAAGUCGAGCGGUAGCACAGAGAGCUUGCUCUCGGGUGACGAGCGGCGGACGGGUGAGUAAUGUCUGGGAAACUGCCUGAUGGAGGGGGAUAACUACUGGAAACGGUAGCUAAUACCGCAUAACGUCGCAAGACCAAAGUGGGGGACCUUCGGGCCUCAUGCCAUCAGAUGUGCCCAGAUGGGAUUAGCUAGUAGGUGGGGUAACGGCUCACCUAGGCGACGAUCCCUAGCUGGUCUGAGAGGAUGACCAGCCACACUGGAACUGAGACACGGUCCAGACUCCUACGGGAGGCAGCAGUGGGGAAUAUUGCACAAUGGGCGCAAGCCUGAUGCAGCCAUGCCGCGUGUGUGAAGAAGGCCUUCGGGUUGUAAAGCACUUUCAGCGGGGAGGAAGGCGUUAAGGUUAAUAACCUUGGCGAUUGACGUUACCCGCAGAAGAAGCACCGGCUAACUCCGUGCCAGCAGCCGCGGUAAUACGGAGGGUGCAAGCGUUAAUCGGAAUUACUGGGCGUAAAGCGCACGCAGGCGGUCUGUCAAGUCGGAUGUGAAAUCCCCGGGCUCAACCUGGGAACUGCAUUCGAAACUGGCAGGCUAGAGUCUUGUAGAGGGGGGUAGAAUUCCAGGUGUAGCGGUGAAAUGCGUAGAGAUCUGGAGGAAUACCGGUGGCGAAGGCGGCCCCCUGGACAAAGACUGACGCUCAGGUGCGAAAGCGUGGGGAGCAAACAGGAUUAGAUACCCUGGUAGUCCACGCCGUAAACGAUGUCGAUUUGGAGGUUGUGCCCUUGAGGCGUGGCUUCCGGAGCUAACGCGUUAAAUCGACCGCCUGGGGAGUACGGCCGCAAGGUUAAAACUCAAAUGAAUUGACGGGGGCCCGCACAAGCGGUGGAGCAUGUGGUUUAAUUCGAUGCAACGCGAAGAACCUUACCUGGUCUUGACAUCCACAGAACUUUCCAGAGAUGGAUUGGUGCCUUCGGGAACUGUGAGACAGGUGCUGCAUGGCUGUCGUCAGCUCGUGUUGUGAAAUGUUGGGUUAAGUCCCGCAACGAGCGCAACCCUUAUCCUUUGUUGCCAGCGGUUCGGCCGGGAACUCAAAGGAGACUGCCAGUGAUAAACUGGAGGAAGGUGGGGAUGACGUCAAGUCAUCAUGGCCCUUACGACCAGGGCUACACACGUGCUACAAUGGCAUAUACAAAGAGAAGCGACCUCGCGAGAGCAAGCGGACCUCAUAAAGUAUGUCGUAGUCCGGAUUGGAGUCUGCAACUCGACUCCAUGAAGUCGGAAUCGCUAGUAAUCGUAGAUCAGAAUGCUACGGUGAAUACGUUCCCGGGCCUUGUACACACCGCCCGUCACACCAUGGGAGUGGGUUGCAAAAGAAGUAGGUAGCUUAACCUUCGGGAGNGGCGACUUACCACUUUGUGAUUCAUGACUGGGGUGAAGUCGUAACAAGG
rnacentral:rRNA from 1 species